rnacentral:rRNA from 1 species
UACGAGUGCCUCAAGCGUUAUCCGGAAUCAUUGGGCGUAAAGGAUGUGUAGGUGGUCUUGUUAGUCUCUUGUUAAAUUCUUCGGCUCAACCGGGGGCAUGCAAGGGAAACGGCAAGACUAGAGGAUGCAAGGGGUUACUGGAACUCUAGGUGUAGCGGUGUAAUGCGUUGAUAUCUAGGGGAACACCAAAAGCGAAGGCAAGUAACUGGGGCAUUCCUGACACUGAGACAUGAAAGCGUGGGUCGCGAAAGGG